rnacentral:rRNA from 1 species
UACGAAGGGGGCUAGCGUUGUUCGGAAUCACGGGGCGUAAAGCGCACGCAGGCGGAUCGUUAAGUCAGGGGUGAAAUCCCGAGGCUCAACCUCGGAACUGCCUUUGAUACUGGCGAUCUUUGAGUCCGGGAGAGGUGAGUGGAACUCCGAGUGUAGAGGUGAAAUUCGUAGAUAUUCGGAAGAACACCAGUGGCGAAGGCGGCUCACUGGCCCGGUACCGACGCUCAUGUGCGAAAGCGUGGGGAGCAAACAGG